rnacentral:rRNA from 1 species
CCUACGGGUGGCAGCAGUGAGGAAUAUUGGUCAAUGGACGAGCGUCUGAACCAGCCAAGUAGCGUGAAGGAUGACUGCCCUAUGGGUUGUAAACUUCUUUUAUAUGGGAAUAAAAUGUUCCACGUGUGGGAUUUUGUAUGUACCAUAUGAAUAAGGCUCGGCUAACUCCGUGCCAGCAGCCGCGGUAAUACGGAGGAUCCGAGCGUUAUCCGGAUUUAUUGGGUUUAAAAGGAGCGUAGGUGGAUUGUUAAGUCAGUUGUGAAAGUUUGCGGCUCAACCGUAAAAUUGCAGUUGAAACUGGCAGUCUUGAGUACAGUAGAGGUGGGCGGAAUUCGUGGUGUAGCGGUGAAAUGCUUAGAUAUCACGAAGAACUCCGAUUGCGAAGGCAGUUCACUGGACUGCAACUGACACUGAGGCUCGAAAGUGUGGGUAUCAAACAGGAUUAGAUACCCCAGUAGUC